rnacentral:misc_RNA from 1 species
GAUGAAGAACGCAGCGAAAUGCGAUAAGUAAUGUGAAUUGCAGAAUUCAGUGAAUCAUCGAAUCUUUGAACGCACAUUGCGCCCGCCAGUAUUCUGGCGGGCAUGCCUGUUCGAGCGUCAUUUCAACCAUCAAGCCCCCGGCUUGUGUUGGGGACCUGUGGCUGCCGCAGGCCCUGAAAACCAGUGGCGGGCUCGCUAGUCACUCCGAGCGUAGUAAUACAUCUCGCUCAGGGCGUGCUGCGGGUUCCGGCCGUUAAAAAGCCUUAUUUACCCAAGGUUGACCUCGGAUCAGGUAGGAAGACCCGCUGAACUUAAGCAUAUCAAUAAGCGGAGGA